rnacentral:rRNA from 1 species
GUGUCAGCCGCCGCGGUAAUACGUAGGUGGCAAGCGUUGUCCGGAUUUAUUGGGCGUAAAGCGUGUGCAGGCGGUUUCUUAAGUCUGAUGUGAAAGCUCCCGGCUUAACUGGGGAGGGUCAUUGGAAACUGGGAGACUAGAGUGCAGAAGAGGAAAGUGGAAUUCCUAGUGUAGCGGUGAAAUGCGUAGAGAUUUGGAAGAACACCAGAGGCGAAGGCGGCUUUCUGGACUGCAACUGACGCUGAG